rnacentral:rRNA from 1 species
UACGUAGGGGGCAAGCGUUGUCCGGAAUCAUUGGGCGUAAAGCGCGUGUAGGCGGCCCGAUAAGUCCGCUGUGAAAGUCCAGGGCUCAACCCUGGAAUGCCGGUGGAUACUGUCGGGCUCGAGUCCGGAAGAGGCGAGUGGAAUUCCUGGUGUAGCGGUGAAAUGCGCAGAGAUCAGGAGGAACACCCGUAGCGAAGGCGGCACUCUGGGCCGAUACUGACACUGAGGAGCGAAAGCGUGGGGAGCGAACAGG